CGGGCCGUAGCUCAGUAGGUAGAGCGCUUGGUUUGGGACCAAGAGGCCGUGAGUUCGAGUCUCGCCGGCCCGACCA
rnacentral:tRNA from 3 species